rnacentral:rRNA from 1 species
UACGUAGGGGGCGAGCGUUGUCCGGAUUUAUUGGGCGUAAAGAGCUCGUAGGCGGUUUGGUAAGUUGGAUGUGAAAUCUCCAGGCUCAACUUGGAGGGGUCAUUCGAUACUGCCAUGACUAGAGUUCGGUAGGGGAGUGUGGAAUUCCUGGUGGAGCGGUGAAAUGCGCAGAUAUCAGGAGGAACACCCGUGGCGAAGGCGGCUCUCUGGGACGGUACUGACGCUGAGACGCGAAAGCGUGGGGAGCGAACAGG